CCAAGGCCAAGACGCGUAGCUGGUCUGAGAGGAUGAUCAGCCACACUGGGACUGAGACACGGCCCAGACUCCUACGGGAGGCAGCAGUGGGGAAUAUUGGACAAUGGGCGAAAGCCUGAUCCAGCCACGCCGCGUGAGUGAUGAAGGCCUUCGGGUCGUAAAGCUCUGUGGGGAGGGACGAAACCUGACUGGUGAAUAGCCAGGCAGUUGACGGUACCUCCUUAGCAAGCACCGGCUAACUCCGUGCCAGCAGCCGCGGUAAUACGGAGGGUGCAAACGUUGCUCGGAAUCACUGGGCGUAAAGCGCACGUAGGCGGCUCGAAAAGUCGGAUGUGAAAGCCCUGGGCUCAACCUAGGAAGUGCAUUCGAAACUGCCGAGCUUGAGUACGGGAGAGGGUUGCGGAAUUCCCGGUGUAGAGGUGAAAUUCGUAGAUAUCGGGAGGAACACCAGUGGCGAAGGCGGCAGCCUGGACCGAUACUGACGCUGAGGUGCG
rnacentral:rRNA from 1 species